AAAACCGGCAAUUACUUUUG
rnacentral:miRNA from 1 species